rnacentral:piRNA from 1 species
UCCCAGAAAUGGGUGACUGAUAGGUGUUUU